rnacentral:rRNA from 1 species
UACGUAGGGAGCAAGCGUUAUCCGGAAUUAUUGGGUGUAAAGGGUGCGUAGACGGGAAUUUAAGUUAGUUGUGAAAUCCCUCGGCUUAACUGAGGAACUGCAACUAAAACUGGAUUUCUUGAGUGCAGGAGAGGAAAGCGGAAUUCCUAGUGUAGCGGUAAAAUGCAUAGAUAUUAGGAAGAACACCAGUGGCGAAGGCGGCUUUCUGGACUGUAACUGACGUUGAGGCACGAAAGUGUGGGGAGCAAAC